rnacentral:misc_RNA from 1 species
AAAAUGCGAUAAGUAAUGUGAAUUGCAGAAUUCAGUGAAUCAUCGAAUCUUUGAACGCACAUUGCGCCCGCCAGUAUUCUGGCGGGCAUGUCUGUUCGAGCGUCAUUUCAACCCUCAAGCCCCCGGGUUUGGUGUUGGGGAUCGGGCUGCGGUUCUACCGCGUCCCGGCCCCGAAAUCUAGUGGCGGUCUCGCUGCAGCCUCCAUUGCGUAGUAGCUAACACCUCGCAACUGGAACGCGGCGCGGCCAAGCCGUUAAACCCCCAACUUCUGAAUGUUGACCUCGGAUCAGGUAGGAAUACCCGCUGAACUUAAGC